UAUUAUUCGGAAAAGAACAUGCCUUUGGCCACACCAUGUAAGCCUUCAAAUAUCAGAGACGGAAAGUGGUUAGAGCGGAGAAUGCUGUUGUCCAACAAACAACAAAACACAAAGAACACUAAACAAAAGCUCUUUUUCUUCUAAACUCAUGAAGUUAAGGGCACCCGUUACUGCUGUAGUUUAUGUUUUUGGCCUUCUAUUUCAAGUUUUUCGGAGAAGCAAAAUUGAAAGACAGUGGUCGAUAAAGCAUUGAAUUUCAAGUGAUGAGCCGGACUUCAGUACAGCCUGAUGAUUGAAAGAUCCGCCCUUCAUUUCAAUAUAAAAAAACAAUUUCGCAAACAUUUUACACGCUAUAUCAUCUUCUCCACUCCACUUUAGAGUUGAAAAUUGUGAAGUUAAACAGGUAAAAUCAAGAUGCUGGGUCGAAAUCUAACAUAACAUUUGACAGAUUUCACCGUAACAUUGAUUGAAAGUUGUUUGAAAAACAUAGAUGUGAUUUCAUUUCAUCAAAUAGCCCACGUUUGUGUUCAAAUUCAGUUUGAUUGUGUUGGCAUGGCGUAUAAUCGUUAUCAAUUUAUUCAUAGUGUAUCAACUUAUAGAUUCUGCCAGAUUUAACUUUACAAUCCAACUUGGCUUUUUACAGAGCUUUGAUGAAAAUGCCUUACCGAUAAAUAUUCAGGUACUACUUUCCCGGAAGGUCAGUGACAGAAAAGCGUUGUUACUUGCACAAGCGAGAAGUAUAAGAUGUUUCUAUCCAUGUGAAGGAAGGACGAUAGUAGAGCAUUGAAAGUCACUUUUGUCUCAAUCGAGGAGAGAUCGACUUUACUACAAAUUAUGAGAAAAGUGACCUUCUUGCCAGUGUGCUAACGGAUGAAGGAAACAGUACAAGUUUUUGUGUUCCAUACAAUAUGCCUGAUGAUGUUGUUAUUAUCGAAGGAACAGAUGCUGCAGUACUUCGAGAGAAAAGACAGAGACUAAAUCUAACAAAUUUCAACGUUGAAAUUGCCGCAAGAGAGGCAAUGGGGUGAAUGAAUAAUACUGAAUGCGCACAUAAAUGUAUAUAUGCGUUUGUACGUGAUGAUUGUCCCGUGAGAAGCAUGAAACUCGAGAGUUAAGCGAUCGAUGGUUUUAAGUUAUCAACUCCAAAAGCCCCGGAUAUUAAUAGCUCAGCUAUUGCAUGUCAUUUUAUUAUACCCGACUAUAGAAGAAUCCAUGGUAUUUGCCAGUUUGUUCUUGGCACAAGAUCUUUGCCGACGCUUGUCGCAAGUUGACAUGGAGCCGCGAGUGGCCACUUAAAGGGGAUUCUUCCGCAGCAGGAUGAUGCGCUAAAUAUUCUGUUAAUUUUCCUUACCUUGGUUCCUAUGGUGACCCUGAAUUGAAGGAAGCAUCUUAGGGAUAUUUUUGUUGAAAUUUUAUAAACCUUUUUAACACCAGUUUUCUCAGGGCUUUACUGUUCAUUAGUACAAGAACAUUCUUUGUUGAAAAGUUAUUUUUGUUUUAGCCAGUUGACCUAGGCCUUGUAACAAUUCUUACAGUCUUCAGUUGUUUGCUACGUCCAAAGUCUAAACCUAAUUGCGUAUAUCUCCAUUAACACUUAUCAUUAAAUUCCCGGCUUUCAAAGUUAAAAUCUCUUCAAAGAUUAACCGCAGAACAUAUUCCGCAUUUCCUUAAACAGUUCAAAGUAAGGUGCUUUCAUUUAAAUCUGUGAUGGAACAAUUCCAUCUGCUCUACAAAAAUUUUAAGGGUAUCCGUUUUAUAGUAUGGAUGUAAGGAAUGUUUCCUGAAAUACACUCUAUAUAUAGCCCAAGAGAGAAAACAUGAACAGCAUUCAAGUGCCACAGGGAGGUGCAACUUACAAUAAUGAACAUACAGGGAAAUCACUCAACACUUUAACCCAAGUCACCAUACUCUCAUUUCCUCUCUCAAGAAUAAUGGUCCCUGUACAAGCCAAGCCGGGGUCACUGGGUGUGGUCAUCAGCCGUUCUAAAAAGUUCUUCCUGUAGUCGUUUCAGGGACCGAAAACUAACCCUAACCCCGAAAUAUGACCUCUGUCUUUUACUUUAUGUAAAAGUUUCCGUAAUGCUUAUGGAGUUUUAGCGGUAAUAAACGGGUCUUUUCCUUUU